AAUAGAAACUACUGAGGGGAAGUUGGGUGAAAUUCCCACACAGUGCCGCUACUGUGAGAGAAGAGUUUCUUCUUAAGUCAGAAUACCUCUAAUUAGAAUGUUGCCACGAGCUAUGGUUGCAUAUAUUUU
rnacentral:sRNA from 2 species